rnacentral:lncRNA from 1 species
AACUCAGCUUUGCUGUUUUUACCGGCGAUGCCACCUAAGACGAGUAGAGGCGAUGUGACUAGAGUCCAUAUAAGGACGAUCACGACAAUGGUUCCAAAGGGUAGUGCUGCGGUUGCAGUGUAGGUGAUGGCUACGGUGUUGAGGAAGCAGAAGGUUAGGAGUAAAGGACCGUGGGUGCUGUUUUUUAUGCUAAGGUAAAAGACUUCUUUUAUCUUCUAAAAAGUUGUCGUCAGCAUCAUCGUUCUCUGGUCUGGUGGUGUUAUUUUUAGUUAGAACAACAUGUAUACUGUGUCUUUCAGGCCGAAAUGGGGUGUACUGAGACCGAGUUGGGGGAUGAUGGUAGCGCUUGGAUAACAAAGUCUCAUAAUUUUCUGUUUCAAGUAAAGCGUUGUCCUUGGUAUCUUGUAAGUUACAUUCUCAAAUACCUUCAUUUUUUUUUUUGCUAUGUCUUGCCUGCCCCUCAUGACUUGAAGCCUACCUCUUUCUCUCGCUCGCUCAAUCAACUAUUUAGGAAGACAGUACUGGUGUGGUGAAAGUAGUGGGAGCUGAAGCUGCUGAUGACUUUCUUGAUACUCUGACACCGCAUUUGGAUAUGUCACUAAGUGAAAUCUUUGGUAGUAUUGUAGAACCUAAACAAGGCUCUCAGGUUACCUUUUCUCUUUCAUUUUUUUUUUGUCUUUCUCUGUUUAUUUUAGUCUUUUUCAUUGGGUUGGAACCAACAGUGUGAUUGUUUUCAUCUCUAGACGAUUUUUCGGGCUUCUCUCGAUACUGGUACCUCCUUAACUAUUAUUGGCGAGGUAAAGGAAGCCCCCAUGUGUUUAUUCUUUAUAUUGUGGAUCAUGUAAGAGUGGCUGUGCAAGCUAAUAUAAGUUGAUGUGUCUGUGUCCUUGUCUGUACUGUAGGCUGCUAGAGACGAAGCUGGUAAUCUCACGAUUCAAAACACCAAUGAACAGCCUUUUAGGAUCUUCAGUGGAGAGGGCUCGUUUGAUAAAAUGGUUGCCAACUUGAAGUCAAAUUCAGAGUAAGGACAGAGACUCAUCAUGUUUUUGUUUAUACAUGGUGAUGAUAAUCAAAUUUUCUUGUGUUAUUUUUUAUGCAGGUUUUAUUUUUUCUAUUCCAAGAUCUUUGGAACUAUUGCUUUUGCUAUAGUUGUUUUUAAAGGCGUGAGUUUCAUACGAAGGGUUUUACGUGAGAGAGCAGAUAAUGCUGAUUCAGACGACGAAGAAACGCCAUGAGGGAGUAGAAUCAGACAACAGUAGUUUAUAGGAUCAGCUUUAAAGGCUCAGGCAGAAGAAUCAGACACCAAUGAUUUAUAACUAGGAUAGAUUUUUUAUCUAUGGUAUUGGGUAGGCAAAAUGUUUAUGAAUAUUUUAACAAACCAUCGUUUCUUAUUCUGACAGAUGAACAAAUUUAAAAAAAAAUUAUAUUGUCCAAAUUAACUAUGUGAUUCUAUUACAUAGUUGAACACACGUUGAUUUAUUCUAUUUAUAGCUUUACAAAACUUGUUAAAAGGAUAUAAUUUAAUUUAAAUAAGAACAUUAUUUCAAUGUAAUAAAAGCAGACAUUUUCCCUUUGUUUGGAUCAAAUUAAUGUAAACAGCCAUUAAAUUAGUCAAUGAACAUAAAUUCACCAACUCGGACAUAUAAUGUACGAAAUAAAAACAUUUAAUUAAAAAGAAUAUCUGUUACAACUUACAAGUCAGUAAAAUGUUUAUAAAAAUAACAAAAGAAAGAGAAAAAAAAAAUACAAAAGUAAAAAAAAUUCAAACUUCCCUUGCAGAUUUUCUUCCUCAGACAUACAAACAAACAAACAGAACAUAAAAAGCAACCGUAUGAUAAAACAACUCUUAAACUCAGAUGGGGUUACCUGAAACUAAUCAUCUGAUGGUGACGAACUUGUUAGUCCCAUGUCUAGCCCAAUGGCUCUUAAGAUCAAUGGGGCUCCCAAAGUUAAACCCAUCAGAAGAAAGUUUCUCAAGAACCUUCUUAAACGCUCCUUGACUCAUCUUCCUCCCGGAGAUCCUCGCUCCACGGCGUUUAGUACUCAUCGGCAACGGGUGCAUCGAUAUGUUCGUGGUGCAACACGCAGACUGCCAACCGCCGCAUCCCCAACGGUAGCAUUGCUGAGGAGCUCCGGUGCAAGUGCAGACCGGUACAGGUAAACCGGAAAUGUCCAUGUUCACUCCGUUGAUAAUCAAGUCAACGCUUUUCUUAGCCGGUUUGACUCUUGAAACGUUAGUCUUGCUGUCGUUCUCUUCUUUCGGUUUACGAGGCUUCUUCCCCUUUGCUGUUGCGCUAGCUUUUGAGUUAGUCUUUCUCUUCUUGUUAGGCUGAACAAUCUCUUCUUCUUCUUCGCAUUUAACCGGGUUAUCCUCGGUUUGAUGAUGGUGAUGGUGAUGCAUGGACGGGGCUGAUGAAGUUUCGGGGAGAACGUUUCCGUAGUUAGGAGAGGUUGUUACAGGCAACAUGUUGAAGAACUUGUCCUUCUGUUGGUUAAUCCAGUUGUAGCUCAUGUGGAUUGGUGGCUCAGGGUGGUGGUAUGACCCGUUUUGGCCAAUCAUUAGAUUUGGAUCUCGACCGGGUAGAAACGGUUUAGUGUUCCGGUCAGCGCUUGACAUUAGCUGCAAACCGAGGUUGCCUUUGAACGUAGCAGCAGCUGGUUCGUAGUAACCCCAAUUGCGAAACCCAUCGUCAUCCAUUUUCAAAGAUCUACAAAACAUGUCAAUAUAAAAAAAAGACAAUCAGAGAUUCAAAUCCAAAUUCAGACAAAACAAAAGCCAGUUCAUGUUCCAAUUAGCCAAAAUCAAAUCAUCCUACCAUUUAUUAUAUCCAAUGUUCCAGAGAUAACACAUCAGAUGUUAAAGAUAGCAAGAAAACAAAAAUUAGAGUGGAUAUAUACAUGAAAUCCAGGGAACUUUUAUAUGAUAUUCCGACAUAAGAACAUUUUCUUGUCGGAACCAACAUGCACAGCUUCUAGAUCUGGGGAGUCCAGAGCUAGAUCUACGGAAAAUGGACAUGAAUCAAGGAGAUCCACAGCCAAAAUCUAAUGAAACAUCAAGAUAUGUACAUAUAUUGGACGGAGAUAAAAGGAUUUGAAGCAAAAGCGUUGUUGGUACAGUACAGGAAAAAAAGGUCCCAUUGUAAAUAUUCAAAACUGAGAGAAAGAGAGAGAGAGGCAUGAUAUGGAAAUGGAUUAGGAAAGAGAAAACUUACAUAUGAGAUUGGGUUAACAAACGGCUCUUUAAGGGAAUUUUUGCCCUUCUGGAGAGAGAGGAGAGAGAGAGAUUGGAGGGAGGGAGGAAAGAGAAGGAAGAGAGAGGAGAGAGAAACCUGAAGGGAAAGAUAAGAUCUGAAGAAAGGGAAAGGGUUUUUAUUUUUAUUUUUUUUGAGUGGAACAGAGAGAGAACCCUAAAAUAAUUGAAAAUCAUUUUCUAAUUUUAAAAUAUACACAAUCUAAAAUAAAUAUCUUUCCAAAAGGCUUUUUUCAUUUUUCUCUCCGCGUUGUACUUGAAAUGAAGACUUUCUUUUUAUGUUUGGUCACUGUAAGAAAGCCAUUUGAGAAGAAGACAAAACAAAAAAAAUAACAAAGCCCACUUAUUGGUCUUUUUGACAUCGUGUCAAAACCAAAUUUUUUAAAAGGCAACGAGAUCGUUCGUGAAAAGAUGAGACGAGGAACAUGAGAUUAUGAAGAAAAAAUACUAAUUCUUCAUAAAACUUUCUAUUGGUAAUUUUUUUUUUCUGUAAUAACAAAUUCUGUGUUUAGCAAACCGAACGUUUUGGGAAUGUUAAGACACAAGUGUAUCCAAUGUGAAGCUCAUAUUUUAUACAUAUAUUGCAUUGCUCAUAGUCAGAGCUUGUCCCUCGCAAAUCAUAAUAAUUCCAUUCCUGUGCGUUCUCUGAACCAGAACUUCGCUGAUUCCCCCAAAGUUAUCAAAUAGAUUUAAACAGAUGCAAAUAUUGCACAACGAUCAUGACUACCUUGAAUAAGAGAUUUGACAUUUAUUACAUACAAAAAAAAAGUCCGAAGGUAUGAUCAUCUUUUACAAUCCAUAAAAUAUAUAGAAAAGGAUACACGUAAGUAAUUUUAAUUUCCGUAGCCCAAAAUAACGAGAAGAAGAGAGAGACAGAGAAGAGAUGCUUUUUCAGGAAAUAAUCAGGCAUUAACAUUGUCAAUAUAUCUCUCUUCUUUCUAACAACCCAUCUCUUUAUCUUUUCUUUGUUCUAGCAAAAAUUCUUAAGGAGGCAGAAGAAGAAGAGAACCAUCGUAAGAAGAUAAAGACUUCUUACUCGCAUUUGAUAGACCGGUAAAUGUGACGAACGAAGAAAAGUGCAGCGCGGAAGCCGACAGUCCCGAGCAUUAAGAAGAACCCGUAGCAAAUGCAAGCCAUGUACCCGAAGAAGAACGAUGUUUGCAUGAAUCCAGACAUGUCUGAUCGUGCGUAGUAGUAGUAUAAGCAGUAGGCGUAGAUAAACAAACCGGUCGACCCACCGCAUAGGAAUGAUCUGCAAAUAAAAACAGUCUCAGGUUCUAUUGUUCAGAGAGAGAAGAAGGUAAAGACAAUGGGAAAUGGCUUAACGAACCUCCACCACCAUUGGUGAUCUUCAGCAGCGAGCUGGAAGUAAGUCAAGGCGACGGUUAUAAAAGCAGUGACAAUGAUGAGGAUGAUGAAGACAAUGAACAGGAUGCUGUAGAUGGUGUAGAUCCGGUGACCCCAGACACUAGCGAAAAUGUAGUAAAGCUCGAUGUAGAUGGCACUGAAAGGAAGAAAACCAGCCAUGGCCAUCUGAGGAACCGCGCUUCUGUACCAAGGGAGCGGCGGAAUCUCGCGGGGGUACUUGGUCGUGCGGCAGGGCGCUUGGAACUCAGCUUUGCUGUUUUUACCGGCGAUGCCACCUAAGACGAGUAGAGGCGAUGUUACUAGAGUCCAUAUAAGGACGAUCACGACAAUGGUUCCAAAGGGUAGUGCUGCGGUUGCAGUGUAGGUGAUGGCUACGGUGUUGAGGAAGCAGAAGGUUAGGAGUAAAGGACCGCAGAAGAGACAUCCAGUGAGUAACAAGUUUCUCACCUGCAGUAAUGUGAAACAAAAAAGUCGUUUAGUUUAUGUAAGAAGAUGAUUUGAGAA